rnacentral:lncRNA from 1 species
UGCCGGGGGGCGGGGACGCGGGCGGCUCCGGGCGGGCGUGGUCCCUCUUGCGGGCGCCUGGGCUGGUCGGGCGGAUCCCGGAGAGGGGGAGCCGCGGGGACGCAGCGACAGACUCGGGGUGCUGGCAGCGGCAGCCCACGCCUCCCAGGGAUUGCAGGCCUGGGCGCCGGGGUUGGACCAGUCUCCCGGGCAUGGCACGCCCUGGUUAUUCUGUACCCGUGAUUUGUGGCGGGGCAAGACGUUAAGUUGGGUGACACCGAGGUGAGCCACGGUCCUCGGCACCAGAUGAGGAACCACUGUCUCAAUAAGUGACACCAGUGAUGCUGUUAAACAAGGACAAUCCGGUUCAUGGAUUGUGACAACGCACGCUGACAUCAAGCAGACCCUGCCGUCAGGUACAGAGGGCACCACAGUGACCAGGAACUGCUGUCCUUUCAUACCAGGUUUUAGGAGGCUUUACCAGAAGGAAUGGAAAAUGCUGGUGGGCAGUAAGAUUGAAACAGCAUCUGAGGACUGGUUCUGCACAAAACCUUAAAUUCUUCAAGGACUUUGACAUUUGUUUAUUCUUGUAACAAAUUAAAACCUAUCCUGUGUGUUGGUUAGAGAUCUUCAAACUGUAAAUACCUUGAGGCAGGAGUGAGGUUUUUAUCUUUUAAAGGACAGGCCCCUACUCUCCUACGUAAUGAGUUUCUAAAAAUGGAUGUGAGCACCAAUCAAUAUUUCUCUGGUUGUUAAAGUCAAGAAUAAAAUGGUAUUUUUAAGCUCGCAACUGUGUAGGAUGAAUUCUGUACACUUUUAUUUCCCUCUGUUCUCCUUUCCUAUUUGAAAGUUUAUUAGUUUGUGGACUUGGGAUCGGAUUAUUCAUGCAUUAUUUUUUGAUGUUGUAUGUCUCUUGGUUCUUGGGUAUUUUUGACACAUAUUCUGUCUUGUAACCAUAGUUAAACAAUUGUUUUAGACCAACUCUCUGUGUGUAAUUGGCUUCAACACUCACUGCUAGUCCUUUGACGCUCUGUUUUUUUCCAUUCUUGAGUAAUUUUAAGUCAUCACUUGGGCAGUUGAAAUAUAUUUUAAAGUGAUUUAAAGAAUAUGUGAGUGGCAGACAUUCUGAACUCUUUUGGUUGUCUGUCCUCAAAAACUAAAACUUAUUUGUGAGUAAAAUUUUCAUCUAAGUGUUUUCCAUAUAAAAACUCUGUCAGCUACUGCUCCAUUGUAGUAGACACAAAAAAGUCAGCACAAUUUUCAUCCCUCCCUCCCUCCCUUCUCUUCCCCUUCCCCUUCUUGCCCUCCUUCCUUCCUUCCUUCUUUCCUUCCUUCCUUCCUUCCUUCCUUCCUUCCUUCCUUCCUUCCUUUUUCUUUUGUUUCUGAAUGUACAAAGAAAACACUUAAAAAUUUGCUUGUAAUUUAAAAACUUGUCAGGAUAUUUCUGGAUUUGAGUGUUUCUUGGUUACUUUUACCUGGAACCUGGUGAACUGAGUCCAUUCCUCUGUUUGCCCUUUCUGUACUUUUUUGGAAAGUUUUCUUUAAUUAUAUCUUCAAUUAUUGUUUCUCUUUUGAUUGUUCUAGAUUCUUCUUCAGAAACAUAACUCUUAGGCUCAAUCUCUAUUCCUGGUCUUCCAUAGCUAUCGUCUUCUUUUUAAAGUACUGUAUUUUAUUGAAUCUAAGCUAGUAUUUGUUGUAAGAAGCACUAUUAUUAUAUGUACAACUAAGGAAGAAAAAAUG